rnacentral:rRNA from 1 species
GCGAAAGCGACGUUCAACCGCAAAACAAGCAGAGGGGGCUUAGUGGUGGGGUGACUGCGUACCUUUUGUAUAAUGGGUCAGCGACUUAUAUUCUGUAGCAAGGUUAACCGAAUAGGGGAGCCGGAGGGAAACCGAGUCUUAAUUGGGCGUUAAGUUGCAGGGUAUAGACCCGAAACCCGGUGAUCUAGCCAUGGGCAGGUUGAAGGUUGGGUAACACUAACUGGAGGACCGAACCGACUAAUGUUGAAAAAUUAGCGGAUGACCUGUGGCUGGGGGUGAAAGGCCAAUCAAACCGGGAGAUAGCUGGUUCUCCCCGAAAGCUAUUUAGGUAGCGCCUCGUGAAUUCAUCUCCGGGGGUAGAGCACUGUUUCGGCUAGGGGGCCAUCCCGGCUUACCAACCCGAUGCAAACUGCGAAUACCGGAGAAUGUUAUCACGGGAGACACACGGCGGGUGCUAACGUCCGUCGUGAAGAGGGAAACAACCCAGACCGCCAGCUAAGGUCCCAAAGUCAUGGUUAAGUGGGAAACGAUGUGGGAAGGCCCAGACAGCCAGGAUGUUGGCUUAGAAGCAGCCAUCAUUUAAAGAAAGCGUAAUAGCUCACUGGUCGAGUCGGCCUGCGCGGAAGAUGUAACGGGGCUAAACCAUGCACCGAAGCUGCGGCAGCGA